rnacentral:rRNA from 1 species
CACCGGCAGCUCUAGUGGUAGCAGUUUUUAUUGGGCCUAAAGCAUCCGUAGCCGGUUUAAUAAGUCUCUGGUGAAAUCCUGCAGCUUAACUGUGGGAAUUGCUGGAGAUACUAUUAGACUUGAGAUCGGGAGAGGUUAGAGGUACUCCCAGGGUAGAGGUGAAAUUCUGUAAUCCUGGGAGGACCGCCUGUUGCGAAGGCGUCUGACUGGAACGAUUCUGACGGUGAGGGACGAAAGCUAGGGGCGCGAACCGGAUUAGAUACCCGGGUAGUCCUAGCUGUAAACGAUGCGGACUUGGUGUUGGGGUGGCUUUGAGCUGUCCUAGUGCCGAAGGGAAGCUGUUAAGUCCGCCGCCUGGGAAGUACGGUCGCAAGACUGAAACUUAAAGGAAUUGGCGGGGAGCACCACAACGCGUGGAGCCUGCGGUUU